rnacentral:misc_RNA from 1 species
CUGGUGUUAAUUACAAAGUCACCCUCACCCCCCCACCCUUUCCUACAAAAACAUACUCAUUUACAAAUAAUGUUUCUCUUUCCCCUCUCACUGCCAACCUUUNNNNNNGAAAAGAAAAAGGAAAAUAGAAGUUCUUAUUAAAGAUUCAAAUAUUCAUGGAAAUAUUUCUCCUUCCUCUUCGUCUCCAUUUACUACCAUCUCAUCCUCAUCCCAAAUAUCAUCCUUUAUGAACAAACCCAAUCGCUCCAGCGGGCUCCCAGUGUAAGCUGCUUCCAUCUCUCCGUUUGUCA